GCGAUCAUACCAGCACUAAUGCACCGGAUCCCAUCAGAACUCCGCAGUUAAGCGUGCUUGGGCGAGAGUAGUACUAGGAUGGGUGACCUCCUGGGAAGUCCUCGUGCACCCCU
rnacentral:rRNA from 1 species